CUGGGAUUUAAUUCGCCAUGGCGCUUGAUGCUCAAUGUUCGUGAAUUAAAGCCGGGUGCUGGGCUUAAAAUGGGGUUGCUUCCCUCCCCCCAACUUUAUUAACCAAAAAGUGUAUAUAUAAGACUUGGCCUUGAACUUCUGGAUUCCUGAGCUCAAGUAAUCCUCCUGCCUUAGCCUCCUGAGUGCUGGAACUACAGGUAUGGGCCACCACUCCCAGUCCAUAAACUCUAAUUUGUAACAACCCAUUAACUCCAAAGAAACUAGAUACAGUUUUUGAUAAUAUGCCUUCUAGAUUCCAAAUCCUAUUACAUGUAAGAAUUUGCAUAUUCAAUUUAUUUGUUGGCUUCAACACCCUUACGCAUAUAUAUAUAUAUAAAUAAUUUUUUUUGCAUCUGGCCUCAUAGUUAAAAAAUUCACUGCAACCUGAUUCAAUGUCAUGUGCCAAUUCUGUCAGAGAAUGCCAAAAAUUAUCUAAAACUUGGUUAGAAUGUGGUUAGAUCAUGUUUUAAAAUUUAUUCUGGAGUGCUUUAUGAUUGAUUUUAUAUAAUGAAGGUCUUCUUUGCAGGAUACCUCACAAUUAUCUCUUCCUCUCAUCUCCUUGUUCAUUUCAUACAGAGUAUGGAGUCAAUAUAAGUAUUAAGUAAUUCUUCUCACCCUUCACUGCUGUCAGAAUCAAAACUAAGGUCUUCCACCUCAACUAAGCCCUUAUUAAGUGCUUACCAAAAUCCUAUAAGUGAUGUAAUCAAGACAGUUAUUCUGCAAUCUGAACAGAGAGGUUAAACAAAACAAAACAAAAAAAAAUGACCUUUUCUCUUGGAUCUACUUUAUCUGGAAUACACUUGCUACUCUAGA